AUACCGAAUCGAAUCUAACAUACAGCCAUGCAUGCGCAAGACUCAAAGCCACACUAUCAUGUCAACACAACUCCUCCAACUGCGCGUGAAAGCCACGCAUUACUUCUAGAGUUGCGCGCGUUCCCUACUGCGGCAGAAUCUCUGAAAUCCUAAUCUCAACCAUUCCAUUAUUAAUAAGAGGUUCAAAACGAGCUUUGAACACACAGAAUAAUAGCCAGAUUGUUAACAGUAAUACCUUGUGAACUUAUGCAAUAGUUAAACCCUCUUGUCAUAAACACUCACCCUUUAUUACUUUGUUCUUACGGUGGAAGUUCCCGAAUAAGGAGUCCCUUUGCAUUCUAAAUGAAGACCUAGCAAGGAAAAGUGGUGCCCAUUUCGUAAGAGGAAAGUAGAGCCUUAGUUGGGUGAUUUUCUGACUUUUGAUCGUGCAGUGACGCUUACAGGAGGACGAUUAUAGACAGGCGCAGCAGGUACUAGAGCUUUUUUGCAUUGCAUUGAAUUUGGGGAGAGUGAUGAGGGCGAAGCAUAACCUGUGUCAUGCCGUUAUCUUUCGAUUUUGUAGCUCUUGUUAUCUUUUGUAAGCUUUGGUUGUAUAUGUUUUGUUACGAGGCCUUGUUUCCUCCCUCGUAUAUUUGUAUUUCCGCUGCGUAGUUUAUAACUCUGUAUGGUUUUAAGGAAUUAAGUCUUUUUUUUUAAAACGCAAACGUCGACACUGGAACCACGAUCCAUGCUUGUCAUUUAGAUUUGAGAAGCCGGCGACAAAUCAUUCCGCCGUGAC